AAUUUUAUAACUGUUUUUCUUGAUCACAUCUAAAUGUGUAUACAUAACUUGAUGAGAACAAGAGAAAUUUCAGAUUGUUCUCAAUCUAAAACUAGUUUAAGUUUUAGUCCAUGGCAGUUUUUACCCCUCUACUCAAAACUAGCCAAGUUACAAAACGAACCAGGCCCUUAAAAUCCUACCUACACUUCUCACUUCCAGUAACUUUCACAGUUUCAGUUAACAAUAAAUUGAAGACAUUGAAAUUUAUCACAUCUUACUGGAAAUGUAAAUGACAUGAUUCACUAAGGGAACCAGAGCAACAAGAAUAUUACAAGAUAACUACUCAAUGCGGAAAUCUGAUUAAUCCUUCUGAUAAAUUAAAAGAAAAAAAAUUCUGAUUAAUCUUUAGGAUCUGCAGAAUAUCAAUUGGCAAAAGCGCAGGAAUUAGUAUCAAUAUGUUGAAGGAUAUAUUUAUUUCUUAGAAAUACCAAUUAGUAAGACUUGGCUCAUAAGUCUGUCAUCUUUGCAAUUGCCCACAACAUCAGCAAUGGCUUCUUUCCAGUGCCCUGCAGGUGCAACCCAAAUUCUGCAAUUGUUUUGACCUCGGCUUUCCUAUAUAUUCUUCUGCACCUGUAAAAGAUUUUGUUUCAUGUAACACUUUAUAGUUACCACUUGCACUUGCUCUUGCAUCAUUUGCAUCAUUACUAAUAUAAAUAUGGGAAAAUCCCGCAUUAUGGUCAGGCAUUGUUGCUCUUUUCGCAACUACUUCCAACUUAGCUCCAAUGGCAGAACAUGAAACUAUCCAGAUGUCAAUAUCAAGUGGUUUUUGGGAAAGUAUAACUGCUUUAAUACACAGCUUACAAGCUGAAGAUAGUCAUGAUUUAAAUUUUAUUAUACAAUAGGUUACGAAGCAUUCACAUGGUCUAAAACUGCAUUGGCGGACUGUUGGGCAAAAAUCUUCUGCCUGAAUUGCACAUAUGGGUACCCAACAAAUGACAGAAAGUGAGCAGGCUUCGAGAAGGAAAGUACCUCAUACCACACCUGAUUAUUCUCAUCCAUUUCAAUUGAAAAACGCUCUUCCCCAGCCUGCUUUGCAGCAAAACAGCAACCAAUAUUAGAAACAUUGAAGGCUUAUGUUUCCUGAAGUGGACUUCACGUGCCAAAAUUUCAAUGUCUAAGUAAUUAGACAGUGUGCAAAACUAAUGCCGAGGACAAGACCACAUAGAUGAAAGCAGAACAUUGCAUUCAUAAUGCCUCAAUUGAAAGAAAUAUUAAAACUGGUUGUUCCAAAUGAUACAACUACACCAAAGAAUUGUCAUUCAAACUGUUAUAAUUUGGCCCUAGAAUAGCUCUUUUACUUUUAAGUUGAAUUAAUGCAACAUACAACACCAUUAGCCCCAUUCUGAAAUCAAUAAUAUUUGUUUAUCAUAUAAAUAUUAGUUUUCUUAGUAAAUCACAUUAGAAGAAAACAAACCUAAUGCUUAAACAAGAAUGAUUAUAAAGAAGUGAACAUAUUUAUGUCCAGAGUUCAUUCCCUUGAUCAUGCAUAUUUAUUUUUGGAUCUUAAAAUGCCAAGAUGUGGACAACUUUAUUGGUAAACAUUCAUAAAUUCUUAUACUUGUCUUAAGCUCUACCAAAUCAAUGCAGGUAAGUCACUGAGGUAGUCAAUUACUUCAUUAAAAAGUGUCCUAAAAAUCCAUCAUGAAUCUGAAUGCUUAAACUUGAGCUAAUUGAAGAUUCAUUGCAAAGAAAAAUGGAAAUCUGAAUCACAAAUAAGAGGAAAACUAUUCACUUCUAUCUAACAAUUAAAUGAAAAGUUGUAGAUAUGACAAAGAAGUUCAUGCAAGGUCAAGGUCUAAGUGAACAGAUAAAAGAGUGAAAGUGACAAUUAAUUAAUUAAAGAUAAAAGCUAGAAAGCAAUAUGUUUAUCUAAACACCAUGAAAUCUUCAUUUCACUACAGAUAACAAUAAGCGAUAUUACUAGAUUCACAUAUAUGUUUUCAAACUAUUUCUAGGACUUCUAGGAGCCCACAAAUCAAAUUUUUGCAAAUAGAAUUGGGAUACUGUCAUUAUGAAUCAAGUUAAGGCUGCAAUACAAAAUGAAAAAUAAAAUUGCUGCAAUUGAGCAAGAUUUUGGUGCCACGAGGUUUGAAAUAUAGUGCACGCACCAUGCUUUUAAUGAAGUAAACGAAGCACAUAAGAAUCUUCAGUCAUGUAUUUAUACAGGACAGGAAGUAAUGAAGAUUAGAUCCACUUAACCUCAACAAUGAACUGAAUUUGCAACCCUGACAAGUCAUCCAAAUUCAUAUUCUAAUCCCAAGCAAAAAUGAUAUGACUGGCAAAGAAGCACUAACCAACAGGUGACCUUGAAGAGUACCACUGCCAAAAGAAAAUGAAGCCAUGGCUUUCUUAGACUUUUUACUUUCUUUAACAUAAACCACCUGAAGAGGCAUCAUGACCCAUGGCAGAAACUGCUUUAAACAAACACAGAAUUUCACUCCAGUCUGAAUGGGAGUCUUGGGAUCAACAAAUGCCCAAGUUAAUCCAAAAUGCCUGCAUAUCAAUUCUAUUAUUAUAGGCAUUUUCCCAUCAUUAAGGGCUAUGAGGAAUGGGUAAAAUAAGCAUAAGUUCACGGACCUCCAAGUUUGAAGAGCUAACUUUCCCUUUUCAAAAGUCUCAAGACCAGAACCAACUAACACACGGGCAUGGUUUAGUAAGAAGCCAUCUUCUGAGAGCUGAUGGUCUUCUUUAAGGGAAGAUACAGGUUUAGCAGUAGCUCCCCUGUACUUUGGGUUAUAGUUGAAGGCACCUAACCUAAAUGACAAGGCCCAGCUAUAAGCAAAUAUAGAAAAAUCAAAACUGAAAAUGGUUCGAUUUCCCAGUAUAACAGAAGAAAAUUCAGAGUUAGAUUCAAUUCCAUUUACUUGUUCAAGCAAUCCUUCUGCUCUUGAGGAGAAGGCUUAGCCCAGGACAAGAAAACCAUCUCUGCCAAAAAACUAUCAAUAACACAAUUACAAUCAUCACGAGUGUUUCUUAUCGAAAUUUAGAUGGGGAAAAAGAAAACAUAUAUUUAUCCCAAUUGCUGAAAUUAGAAAAUGUUAAUAGCAGAAACGGCAUGGAAAUUAGAUGCUUACAAAUGCUAGGAGUAAGAAAGAUUUUAUUUUACCUCGUAGACUUCAAUUUCG
rnacentral:misc_RNA from 1 species